UACGAAGGGGGCUAGCGUUGCUCGGAAUGACUGGGCGUAAAGGGCGCGUAGGCGGCUCAUACAGUCAGAUGUGAAAUUCCUGGGCUUAACCUGGGGGCUGCAUUUGAUACGUGUGGGCUUGAGUGGGGAGAGGGUCGUGGAAUUCCCAGUGUAGAGGUGAAAUUCGUAGAUAUUGGGAAGAACACCGGCGGCGAAGGCGGCGACCUGGUCCUUGACUGACGCUGAGGCGCGAAAGCGUGGGGAGCAAACAGG
rnacentral:rRNA from 1 species